AAAAACAUCGUCGACCCGGAAGACCCCAGGUGUGCCCGGUUGACGCUCACUGGCCGGAUGAUGGCGGUGUCUCCAGAAGAAGUAGAAUUUGCCAAGCAGGCCAUGUUUUCAAGUGACAAUGACCAGCACCCACUGAGCACCUGCUCUCUGCCAGUGUUUUAUGCAUACAUCACUGCUCCCCACAUAGCCCUAUGAUCCGAGCACCAUCAACAUCACCCACAGGACAGACACCCAGGGAUGAGGAAGUGGCCUCGUCAGUAUGAAUGGUUCUUUAUGAAGAUGAGGAUAGAACAUAUCUGGCUUCAGAAAUGGUAUGGAGGAGUCUCCGACAUUUCAAGGGAAGAAUAUUUCAAAGCAGUUCCCAGAAAGGCCUGAUGGAGUAAGAAGACCCUCGGCAUUUGUGUUCAAAUAAAAACAUUUUAAGUGAUGCUGCCAGACAGCUGUCGACCGCUGUCUCUUUGCUGCAGGGUUCAGAGAGCCCUGUCAUCCCUAUAGCAGAAUGAGAGAGGGAGAACAGGGAAGCCUGUGCUGGAUUUGAGAUGAAAGUGGUCGCUUGCAGAUCCCCGACUCACAUAGGUACUUCACAUAGAUAGUCUUUGUUUACGUUGUAUUCGAUCCAGACUCACCUAUUUGGAAGUCAUCGUUGGUUGUCAAGAUGACAUGUUGAGACCGUUGCUGUUCCAUUGUUUAAGGAAACAUGAUGCCUGUACAUACAAUGUGA